GAGGGUGUGGCUCAGUGGUAGAGCAUUUGCCUAGCAUGCACAAGGCCCUGGGUUUGAUUCCCAGCACUCUUC
rnacentral:tRNA from 1 species